UCGAGGAUCUUCCGCAAUGGGCGAAAGCCUGACGGAGCGACGCCGCGUGCGCGAUGAAGGCCUUCGGGUUGUAAAGCGCUUUUGUAGGGGAGGAAGACCGAAAGGUUUGACUGUACCCUGCGAAUAAGCUCGGGCUAAGUUCGUGCCAGCAGCCGCGGUAAGACGAACCGAGCGAACGUUGUUCGGAAUCACUGGGCUUAAAGGGCGCGUAGGCGGGCAAGCAAGUCCGGGGUGAAAUCUUUCGGCUCAACCGGAAAAGUGCCUUGGAUACUGCUUGUCUCGAGGGAGGUAGGGGCCUGUGGAACUUCCGGUGGAGCGGUGAAAUGCGUUGAUAUCGGAAGGAACGCCGGUGGCGAAAGCGACGGGCUGGAUCUCUACUGACGCUGAGGCGCGAAAGCCAGGGGAGCGAACGGGAUUAGAUACCCCUGUAGUCC
rnacentral:rRNA from 1 species